AUGAAAAUCAGCCCAGCCCUGACCCUGCAGCUUUGGGAGAGGAGCCCCAGCUCCUGGAUUCCCAGGUCUGCCCACUCGCUGCUCAGGACUGAACACAGACGACCCACCAUGGAGUCUGGGCUGAGCUGGCUUCUCCUCGUUGCUCGUUACAACUUGAUUCGUGGAGAACUGGAGAGUCGGAGUGUUGUCCCGUGUGAGGUGCAGCUGGUGGAGUCUGGGGGAGGCUUGGUCCAGCCUGGGGGGUCCCUGAGACUCUCCUGUGCAGCCUCUGGAUUCACCUUCAUUGAUUACUACAUGCACUGGGUCCGCCAGGCCCCAGGGAAGGGGCUGGAGUGGGUUGGUGUUGUUAGAAACAAAGCUAAUGGUGGAACGGCUGAAUAUGCCGCGUCCGCGAAAGGCAGAUUCAUCAUCUCAAGAGAUGAUUCCAAAAGCGUUACCCCUCUGCAAAUGAACAGCCUAAAACCCGAGGACACAGCGAGGGGACAGCAGUGUGAGCCCAGACACGAACCUCCUGAGGGCACAGGAGGCCAUCAGGGGGAGCCUGGGACCCAUAAAGCACAAACUCAGCCUAGGGCGGGUGCAGGUGGUGACUAA